rnacentral:rRNA from 1 species
AAUAGAUACCCUGGUAGUCCACGCCGUAAACGAUGAGUGCUAAGUGUUAGGGGGUUUCCGCCCCUUAGUGCUGCAGCUAACGCAUUAAGCACUCCGCCUGGGGAGUACGGUCGCAAGACUGAAACUCAAAGGAAUUGACGGGGGCCCGCACAAGCGGUGGAGCAUGUGGUUUAAUUCGAAGCAACGCGAAGAACCUUACCAGGUCUUGACAUCCCACUGACCGCUAUGGAGACAUAGUUUUCCCUUCGGGGACAGUGGUGACAGGUGGUGCAUGGUUGUCGUCAGCUCGUGUCGUGAGAUGUUGGGUUAAGUCCCGCAACGAGCGCAACCCUUGAUCUUAGUUGCCAUCAUUUAGUUGGGCACUCUAAGGUGACUGCCGGUGACAAACCGGAGGAAGGUGGGGAUGACGUCAAAUCAUCAUGCCCCUUAUGACCUGGGCUACACACGUGCUACAAUGGACGGUACAAACGGUUGCCAACCCGCGAGGGGAGCUAACUACCCGUNUAAAAACCCGUUNUCGAUUUCGGAUUGUAGG